rnacentral:rRNA from 1 species
UACGUAGGGUGCGAGCGUUAAUCGGACUUACUGGGCGUAAAGCGUGCGCAGGCGGUUUUGUAAGCCAGGGGUGAAAUCCCCGGGCUCAACCUGGGAAUGGCAUUUGGGACUGCAAGGCUGGAGUGCGGCAGAGGAGACUGGAAUUCCUGGUGUAGCAGUGAAAUGCGUAGAUAUCAGGAGGAACACCGAUGGCGAAGGCAGGUCUCUGGGCUGACACUGACGCUCAUGCACGAAAGCGUGGGGAGCAAACAGG